rnacentral:rRNA from 1 species
CCUGAGAAACCUAAAAGUUCGAAUGGAGAGAUUCAACGUCAGUAUAUAUUGUAUUCACGUGAGUAGUGAUGUAAAUUUUUAACUUUGAGCGAAAGCUUUUUGUUAUAAUUUGCACAUUUUCAUGUUUUUUUAUUGCAAUAUUAUUACCGGCGUGCAUUUCUCUUCUAGUAGAACGUCCCGACCCGUUGAAUCUUGGCCUACGGCACAGAUGGUAGCCUUUGAUACUUUUUGUAUUGGAGACCUCUGUUGUACUCCUGGCUAAAGCAUUCGACGGUAUUGCAUAAUAAUGAUAUGGUAUUAAGCCGCAAAAUUUUUUUUUGUGCGUCUGGCCUGCCGCAAGUUUCUUGACAUAUUCCGUAUAUUAUAGACCUGGUCUUAUAUUUAUGGUUAUGUUGUGUUGCAUGACAGUGCUCUCAGACUGGCUUUUUAUACCUGUCAGGGACGCUUAGGCUUUGGGUACUCUCAGGACCCGUCUUGAAACACGGACCAAGGAGUCUAACAUGUAUGCGAGUCAUUGGGUAUAUAUUUUUCGUUAGAAAUUUAUAUAAAUUAAACCUAAAGGCGAAAUGAAAGUAAAAGUUGAACCUCGCGUUUAACUUAGGGAUGAUGGGUCGUUAAUUCAACCUCGCAAUCCCAGGGCGUCUUAAUCUCAUCGAGAUGUGG